AAGUUUUGACUUUUUCUGUUGUGAUCAUCAAGAAUAUCAUUGCAUUAAAUGCAGCACUUUAGAUCAUAAGACAUGUAACAGUGUUUUGCUACUCGAAGAUAUUGUACGAAACGCAAAGUCAUCUGUAGCUUUCUGUCAUAUUGAAGAAGGUUUGAAUGUUCUACUUUCCAAAAUUGAAACAAUUUUGAAUAAAUCAAGAGAAGCAAUUAGCAACAUAAAUGUACAAGUAAACGAAAUAAGCAAUAAUGUUAAGGAAAUGAGGACUCAGAUACACAAGAAAUUAGAAGAAGAAAUAGGAGAAUUUCUACGUAAGUUGGACGAGUUAAAGACGGACAGCAAAACCAAAGCACAUGAAACAGUAAGAGGGCUGAAGGAAAAACUCAAUGUUAUUCAAGACUU
rnacentral:lncRNA from 1 species